GGGAUGAAUACUCUAGAAUCUCUCACUUUGUACAGUAUCCAGUUGUGCGCCUCUGUUUUAGUUACUAUCUACUUCAAGAGGAAGCUUCUCUGAUGAUGAGAGAGCAAGACACUGAGUAUAGAUAAAGUAGAAAGUCAUAAGGCCUCAUUGUGCUGUAGAGGUUUAUGUCAACUUGAGCCAAGCUGGAGUUAUCUUAAAGGAACAAGCUUCUUUUGAGAAAAUGCCUCUGUAAGAUCCAGAAAUUUUGGGUGAUGAAGUUGGAGGCAUAUGGACUUUGGGGCUUGUUGGAGAGAGGAGAGAUAUAAGCAUGUGCUUUGAAAAUGCUGUUCUGCUAGGGAAGAUGAAUUAGAGAUGAGAAAACUUGGAAAAGUUGAAGCACAUAAAACGUUACGGCAAUUUCCAGGCACAGUUCUGGAUAGUGAUACAAGAUUUAAAAAAAUGCUCACUGUUUCUCUUUACAACUGGAAGACACAGGGGACCCUGAUGCAGACGGUGUAUCACAGAAGCACAUACAGCAAUAUAUCCAGAAGCCACCGAAAAUAAAGGCAAAAAUUGGCAAGAGAUAACUAAUAAAAUGCAAAAAUUCC